GAUGAACGCUGGCGGCGUGCCUAAUACAUGCAAGUCGAGCGAACAGAUGAGGAUCUUGCUCCUCUGACGUUAGCGGCGGACGGGUGAGUAACACGUGGAUAACCUACCUAUAAGACUGGGAUAACUUCGGGAAACCGGAGCUAAUACCGGAUAAUAUAUUGAACCGCAUGGUUCAAUAGUGAAAGACGGUUUUGCUGUCACUUAUAGAUGGAUCCGCGCCGCAUUAGCUAGUUGGUAAGGUAACGGCUUACCAAGGCAACGAUGCGUAGCCGACCUGAGCGGGUGCUCGGCCACACUGGAACUGAGACACGGUCCAGACUCCUACGGGAGGCAGCAGUAGGGAAUCUUCCGCAAUGGGCGAACGCCUGACGGAGCAACGCCGCGUGAGUGAUGAAGGUCUUCGGAUCGUAAAACUCUGUUAUUAGGGAAGAACAAAUGUGUAAGUAACUAUGCACGUCUUGACGGUACCUAAUCAGAAAGCCACGGCUAACUACGUG
rnacentral:rRNA from 1 species